GAUGAACGCUAGCUACAGGCUUAACACAUGCAAGUCGAGGGGUAACGAGAGGAAAGCUUGCUUUCCUUGUCGACGACCGGCGCACGGGUGAGUAACGCGUAUCCAACCUGCCCCCAACUAAGGAAUAACCCUGCGAAAGUAAGACUAAUACCUUAUAAUUUCCUCAGAUGCCAUCUGACGAGGAAUAAAGAUUUAUCGGUUGUGGAUGGGGAUGCGUCUGAUUAGCUUGUUGGCGGGGUAACGGCCCACCAAGGCAACGAUCAGUAGGGGUUCUGAGAGGAAGGUCCCCCACAUUGGAACUGAGACACGGUCCAAACUCCUACGGGAGGCAGCAGUGAGGAAUAUUGGUCAAUGGGCGGAAGCCUGAACCAGCCAAGUAGCGUGCAGGAUGACGGCCCUAUGGGUUGUAAACUGCUUUUAUACAGGAAUAAAGUUAGCCACGUGUGGUUAUUUGUAGGUACUGUAUGAAUAAGGACCGGCUAAUUCCGUGCCAGCCGCCGCCGUAA
rnacentral:rRNA from 1 species